GGGGCGCCGGGCGCGCGCACAGACCCAUGCGGAAAGAAAGGAUGCCCCGCCGACGCCUGGAGCGGGGCGAGAGCCGGCCGUGGACUCUGAGCCGAGGUGGCCUCGGGGUUUGCCCUCCCGCCACACUGGCCUGUGGCCAGAGCCAGGCUCACCUGGACAGCCCUACGGGGAGCCUGGUGGGGGGCUCCCUGCACGGGGAGAGGGUGGGCGAGCCCCUGCGCAGAGCGCAGAGAAUGCGCGUGGUCGGCGCGACCUGAGGACCCCAACUGUGACGCCCCCCCCAGCGAGCUGGAGAGUACCCUGCAGGGCGGUGUCCACAGGCCUGGCGCCCCCCAUCGGUCCCAGCGCAGCGCCCCGGAAGGGAGGAGAGGGUCUGGGGCAGGCCCGGGUGGUCAGCGCCUGCUGCCCACAGAGGCACUGUGAUUAGUGCAGCGAGAAGCAGCUAUGGCCACAAGAUGCCGCCCACAGGAAUGAGUCCCGACCUGGGACGUUUCUUUAUGGGAGCGCACCCCUGCUCUGACCUUCCGGCAGGACCCCCAAGGGGCGUCAUUCAGCAGCAGCUCAGCAGAGGGAGGCGAUGGAUCAUCGGGACUUCACAUGGCCACAACAAAUCACAACUGCUUCAGCCACGGCUGAAAAAACAUCAUCUGCCUAGAAUUGACUGUCAUCCUGACAGGAGAUCUAAUGUGAAAGACUUACAGAAAUGGACUGUCAAGACACAGGUUUUUAAAGUUCACAGAAAAGUCUGGCAUCAUCUAAAAAGAGUAAAGAUCAAUACUGGGCAGUUUGGCAUGGUGUCUCCGAAGCCUAAAAAUGGGCACAGUCCCUGAACAGCAAAAACAUUUCCCGUAAUUUAUCCUAUGCAAACAGUCAGGCGUGUGUGAUCAAUGAUUUAUUAUAGCAACACUUAGGAAAAAAGAUGGAAAAAAGAUAGAUGCUGGGCAGAAGGAGCUGAGUUAAAUGAAUCCCAACAUAGCCACAGGCAGUCAUUAGAAUCCUGUUCCAAAUGAGCACUUGUGACACAGGGAAAGGCUUACAACAUGUUAGCCGAUUACACACCAUGUAGAGCCUGAUAACCUCCCCCAUUCUAAAGAAAAAAUACCAUACACAUACAUAGAAAAGAGAUGAAGGCGCAGUGGCUCACACCUGUAAUCCCAGCACUUUGGGAGGCCGAGCUGGGCUGAUGGCAUCUGAGGUUAGGAGUUCAAGUCUGCCUGACCAACAAGAUGAAACCCUGUCUCAACUAAAAAUACAAAAAUUAGCCGGGCGUGGUGGCAGGCGCCUGUAAUCCCAGCUACUCAGGAGGCUGAGGCAGGAGAAUUGCUUGAACCCAGGAGGCAGAGGUUGCAGUGAGCUGAGAUCGAGCCACUGCACUCCAGCCUGGGUGACAGAGCAAGAUUCUAUCUCAAAAAAAAAAAAAAGAGAGAGAAGUAAGGUUCCUAGUCACCAAGUCAUAGCAGUGACUCUCUCUGGGCAGGGGAAUUGAGGGCGGUUUAUAUCUUAAUCUUUGUGCUUUUCCAUAUUUUUCAAAUUUUCAGCAAUGAACAUGAACUAUUCAGGGGAAGAUUGUUAAAUGAAAGAAUCUCACCGGGCGGGGAGCCAAGCAUGACACCUGGCGACCUGCCUGUGCCUUGUGCCUGUCCUGCCGAGAAGAGAGAAGAGGCGUUGAAAGCAGCCAGCGGUGGUGCACACCAGCCUGGGCAGGGGGCAGUAAGCAGGAGCAGCCCCGACCCAAGACCAGGUGGGAUGCACGCGGGAUGGGGCUGGAAAAGAAGGAAACCCUGACGCAGACCCCAGGGGGAAAUGAGGAGCAGCCGAGCAACUGGAGAGCAGAGGAGGCUAUUUGGGGGCCCCCAGCCCCACCCCUGAGACAGCUGAGAGAGGAGCGGGUGUGAGGGCAAAACAGGCAGGAACCUUCCAGAGAAGGAAGCCAGGAGCUGGUAAAGAGCACGGGCCCAGCUGCAGACAGAAACCUUUCCGUCUCAUAUGAUGGCUGAGGCGCAGGACAGCGGAGGGGGCGCAUCCUCCUUCAUCUGUCCUGUUACCAUACGUUCUAGGUGCACCACUGGUAAGGAGCUUCUUAUGUGGGGCCUUUGACAACCCUUGUUUUUAAACUAGAGCAUUUCCUUCAUUAAUAUUAACUGUAAUCAUUGAUAUACAUGAGGUCAGUCUUUCUGUA